rnacentral:rRNA from 1 species
UACAGAGGUCCCAAGCGUUGUUCGGAUUCACUGGGCGUAAAGGGUGCGUAGGCGGUCGGGUAAGUCUGAUGUGAAAUCUCACAGCUUAACUGUGAAACUGCAUUGGAUACUAUCCGGCUCGAGGAGUGGAGGGGAGACUGGAAUACUUGGUGUAGCAGUGAAAUGCGCAGAUAUCAGGAGGAACACCGGUGGCGAAGGCGGGUCUCUGGGCAGUAACUGACGCUGAGGAGCGAAAGCGUGGGGAGCGAACAGG